rnacentral:rRNA from 1 species
AUUGAACGCUGGCGGCAGGCUUAACACAUGCAAGUCGAGCGGAGACUUCGGUCUUAGCGGCGAACGGGUGAGGAAUGCCUGGGAAUCUGCCUAUUAGUGGGGGAUAACGUUCCGAAAGGAACGCUAAUACCGCAUACGUCCUACGGGAGAAAGCAGGGGACCUUCGGGCCUUGCGCUAAUAGAUGAGCCCAGGUAGGAUUAGCUAGCUGGUGGGGUAAAGGCUCACCAAGGCGACGAUCCGUAGCUGGUCUGAGAGGAUGAUCAGCCACACUGGAACUGAGACACGGUCCAGACUCCUACGGGAGGCAGCAGUGGGGAAUAUUGGACAAUGGGCGAAAGCCUGAUCCAGCCAUGCCGCGUGUGUGAAGAAGGCCUUCGGGUUGUAAAGCACUUUAAGCGGGGAGGAAGUACUUGGGGCUAAUAUCCCUGAGUGUUGACGUUACCCGCAGAAUAAGCACCGGCUAACUCUGUGCCAGCCGCCGCGGUAAUAC